AGGAAUUCUAAAAAAACAAUCCAAAGGAAAAAUGUUUUGCAAUUUGACGCUCCGCCCACCCAGUGCAUAUCGGUUGGUGGAAAAAACAAGGAAAUGGGACGUACCCGGUAGCAGUGACUUUUUUUCUAUAAAGUCUGCUGUUUGUGGCGUAAACAUUGCUACAAGAGCAGAGGAGUGCAGUAAACCUAUCAGGAUACACCCGUCUAUCAAUAGAGGUACAAUGAUGAACCGCUGUGGUCUGCUAACUCUCCAGAAGGAACCAGGUACUGACAGAAAGUAAAGGGGCUUCUGUUUACUCUCCAGCCUCUUUUCAUUCAUCUAAAAUUCAAAUGUAAUGACUUUUUUAUUUGUAGUAGUGGCUCAUAAUAAUAAAUGAUUAUUUCCCCAUGACUGAGACAAUACUCAACAAACCCAUUUCAAUAGCUGGAUGGUCAUUUGCUCUUUAGGUUAUCAACAUGAAAAUUGCAUUGAGGUUCAUGGCCAUUUUCACCUUCUGCUGACCAAAGUAUACAUAAGAAAAUGUUGUGCUUCUCCCACACCCACUGGUGAAAAGUUCUGGAUGGCAUCAAGCUUACUCUGUGAAGUUGAUCAUAUGCAUCUUGGACAGUAGUGUACUGCUGCAUAUGGCUACGAUUAAUGCAGAGUAUAUCCCUGUGAUACAAAAGCACAGAAGAAAAAUGAUGGAUACAA